AGGGAAGGCGAGUCAGAGCGAACAAGUACAACAACAUCGAGACCGAUACGGAACGGAGAACGGCCGCGGCACCAACACCAAGCCCAACCCAACAGCAGCCAGCAACCUCGCACCACCACCACCACCUCCUCCGUCGCAGCAGCAGGCCUGCAGCCGCCGGCGCCGGCGCCGUCGAAGACCACCUGAACCCCCGCCGUCCCGACCCGGUAACCGGAGCGUCCCGCGAAAGCCCGCCUCGGCGGCGCCCGCGAUAGCUGCAGCAGCGCGUGGAGCCUGACGGGAGCAGCAGCAGCAGGGUCCGAUCGCUCCCUCCUCCCCCGCGCCCGCGCGUGCGCAGCAGCAGCAAAGUGACUUUUCAAGUUUGGCAGUGUAUAUCAGAGUUCAGAUUGGAAAAUUAAAGUUUUUACUGGGCAUUUUUGUGGGAUUCUACUUUGUAGUUCAGCUGUAUUUAUAUGGAAUCUCUUUCCUGAGAAAUGCCGUCCUCUACGCCACCAUCAGGGCAAUCAGCACCAAGCCUUCAACCAUUACCAUCAUCUGCAGCAGUACAGAGUACUCGUAUUGAUGUUCGUGAGAUCAAGUCCAAGAUUUUUAAAAGGAUUGGACCUGAACGAGCAAGGAAGUACUUUCAGCAGCUGGAGAGGUUCUUAUCUUCAAGAUUGAGCAAGAAUGAAUUUGAAAAGCUGUGCCUUGUGGCACUUGGCCGUGAGAAUCUCCCAUUGCAUAACCACCUCAUCCGUUCUAUCCUACAUAAUGCCAGUAGGGCAUGUGGCCCACCAGUAAUCAAUGACCCUAAGUUGGUCAGAGGUGCCACCAGUUCUGGCCAUGCAUUUGUUUCUCCUGUCUGGGACAAUAGUGGUGCUUUGAACCAGAAUUUCAAAGAGAACAAACCAUCAAGCAGAAGGGAAAAUGCAUUAUCUCAGAAGUCAUCACUGAAUCAUUAUGAGACUAUUAUUCAGGAGAAUGGUAUUCAUCAUUUGAGUGAUCUGAAGAGAUGUCCACAACUUCAAAAAGGUGACCAUCUGGAACCGCUUAUCAAGCGACCAUGUGUGGAGAAGGAACCAUUCAGUUUACACUCCCUGCAUAGCAAUGGGUCUGCUCUGCCUUCAGGAGAAAACCUGGGACGAGAAAUUAUACACCAAUCCCAUGGUCCAGUGCAAGCUCCACUUGGCAUUCAGUUACGUCCUGAUUGUUUCAGUGGGGCCCAAAAAUGUUUAUCCCUUGCUUCUUUCAGCUCAAAGGAUACCUCUGAUACCUGUAUUGACUUCGGUGAACUAUGUGAUACUUUGUCAGUGAAGAAGAGGAUGGACAAAAUAGCAGAAUCAGAAGGGUUAGAAGGGGUAUCAAUAGAGUGUGCCAAUUUGUUGAAUAAUGGUAUAGAUGCGUUCAUUAAGCAGUUGAUUGGGUCUUGUGUUGAAUUAGUGACAGCAGGGUCUCAACUUGGCAAACUAAGAAAUCAGGCAUUGAAGCAGCAGCUGCGCCGAAAGCUAAUAAAUGGUGUAUCACUGCAAAAUCAUAUUCCUGGGCAGGGUAGCAUUGUACCUUCAGAGACAAAUUCCAUCUCCUUACAGGACUUAAAGGCAGUGAUGGAAUUAAACCCUUGUUUGCUUGGAGUUAAUGCAUCACUGCUACUUGAGAAAAUCAAUUCGUACGACUAGUUGGAUGGAGCAAGUUGGAUUCAUGUCCUCACAAGAUUCUACGAUCUUGAUGAUGUGUCUUGCUUCAUGGCUGUAGUAGUCAGGCCAUAGUUCACUGAUGGGUGGUGAAAAAGGCAAGCGAAUUCUGUGCAGUAUCCUCAUUGUUUUGCAUCUCAGCUCCAGUGCAAUCUUCCAGAAUAAGCAAAGCUCUGCUUAUCUUCUGGUUGCUGUAUUUUAUGGCAUUUCAUGCACCGAUUCACCACUAUGGGCAAAGUGCUUCAGAGAGAACUAUGGUGCUGGACUCCAAACAAAUUUGAGGAGCCAUAUAACAGAUUUGAUCUUUGGCAUGAGGAUAUAUUCCUUACUAAGGUCAAGAUGUGCCUAAGUGGCCAUUAUUCUUUAGGAGCACUUCUGACCAACAGGAUCCAAUCAGAAUGGGAUAGCAGCCUGCACCAAUUUCAGAAAGGUCAUUCAGAAAGUUUCAAAUUGCCAAGAGGUUUUAUCCAAGUUCCCUAGAAGUUCCAUCCAAGUCUAAGUUUCGGGGAUUUUUUUUUUUUGGUAGUUUUGAGGAGGUUGGCCAUAUGGUUAAGGGAUCAUGUUUCUUCUUUACCUAUUACAAAAGAAGCAAACUAAUGAACACCUUUUAAGGAUGUAGAAGCUGUUAAUAUACUGGAAUCAAAUGAGGAAAGGGUAAAAAUUUCUGUGGAAUAUGAGGGAUCCACUUGAAAAUAGGUUUGAAUAGCUAAAAUGAGUAAAAUAAUAGUAAACUGUAUAUGUGAGGGCUCUGUUUACAUAAAAGCUGUGAACUAAAUUAUUUGUACUAUUUGUCUUAACAUGUGACAAAUCAAUAUAUUUGUCACUUCACUGUAAAAAUGUCAACGAAAACACCAAUUUAUCAAUGCAACCUAGUAUCUUCAAUCCUAACACAUUUGGGGUACAUUGUGCAUGUUGUCAAAUGCUCUUAAUUGGAUUAUGGGGCAAAUAUUGUCAUUUGGUACAAUUGCAGUAAAAUCUAGACAAGUAUUCAUUGUAGCACCAUACUGUUUGUGCAAGAGUGACGAGCCACAUCACAUUGUGAGUUGAGAACUAAAGAUAAGUUAGUUCCGAUGUUAGUUUGGAAGGUUUAUUUUUUGAUAUAUUCUAUGUAUUAGGAUUGUGUUUCUUAAGUCUAGAAAUUGUUUCUCACAUGUGAGGUUGGCUCAUCCCUGUAACAGAUAAGUUUCAUGCCCAAUAUGAAUGAUUCAACAAUAAUGAGUUGGUCUUAUAAAAUUCUUUCAGCCAAUUUAUGUUUCCCUUACAAUAACUGAAACCAUUCAAGCAUGUUGUCUGGCCUCUAUCAGGUAGUUAUCCCAUUGCACAUGCGUUGACAACAUCUGCAAAUAAAAAGUACAGAGUUGUCGCUGGAUUUCUGGCAUGAUAUAAUACAUAUAAUACAUAUGGAGAUCUUAAUACAAUGUGAUAGGGCUCACUCUCUGGAUGGUUUGAUGACUAUCCAGGACUCCAGGUUAAAAAGGUAAAUCUUAAUAUGCCACCGUUGCUUCCUGCUAAGCAAACAUUAGGCAGUGUCCUACGAGUUACACUAUAGCCACAAUCAUUCUGAGGAACUUUUCAAUCUCUUUGAUGCAUAUAGAGAUGCAGGAAAACUGCAUUGUGAACUUGCCUGAAGUUUACAUUGCAUAGUGUUCUGUAAUGAUCUUUUGAUCAUUGGUAUAAGAUAACGAAGUUGGUAGGUAGAUAAGAAAUAGAUCUGGAGGGAGAGAGAAGAUCUAUGUCAGAAUGAUUGCAUUACAUCUCAUUAUAUAGAUGUGCUUACAGCUAUAGUUAUUAGAUCUAAACAUCCUGGCUAAUAGAGGAGAUACCAAACAAUCUCAUAUAUUUUUGAGUUGAUAACCCUUGUUAAUCCUUGUUGUUGGGCCAAUUGUCAGUGUUAUUGCCUUUAUUCAUAAAUAUUGCCAUAUGGUUACUGUAGUGCAUGAUAAAGCUGUUGCAGGCACUGAUGCUUAGGUUACUAUCGCGCAAACACUUGAUGUCACAAUGACAUUUUGUUGCUUAGUUCAAUAUUUUAUUUUUAUGGCAGAAUGCAUGUUAGUAAACUGGAUUGCUUUAUGCUACCUGGAAGCAUCUUGAUGAUAUGUACAUAAUCUGGGUACAAAAAAAAAGGUAGUUCUGGGCCUAAUUCUUCCUCGAAGGAUAGACUAAUAAAAGGAGAGCAUUUACGCAAGUUUCCCUUUCCAUGUUGUUCAUAGAGGUGCUAUAUUCAUUUUCAUACUUAGUUUCAUGACCCUUGUCUCCUAUUGGGAUGAAAAAUGAGUGGCAUAAUUUAUAUUUAGAGUUGAGUGAAAUAUAGCCUUGAGAUUGGAGCUAUUUUUUUCUUUGUGCAUGAUUUGUUUAAAGCUCACUUGAUAAAUUGAGGAAAUUUAUAGGGUGUGUUAUAUUGAGUCCUUGUAAAUUUAUGCCCUCAGCUUGCUUCAUGUUCUCUACAAUAUGCAAGUAUAUAUAUAUCUGAGUUUUGUUGAGUUUUAUUUGGUACUCGUGGAGCUUCAUAUGUUUGUCAGUAUUCUGCCAAGCUUGCAGGGGUUAUAUGCUGAAUUGCUGAUGAUAGCAAUUUGUAAAUGGUUGUCUCCAGGAUUGGGAGUCAUGGCCUCCCAACUCAUCUGCAGCCCGCAGAUAACUUGUGCAAGUGAUACGACCAUAGGAUUGUGCGAAAUAAAAGCCCGGUGGCUGUAUCUUUGCACUGUUUUUGCCUGAGCGUUGGCAAAAAAUUUGUUCAUAAUCAUGGUUUAAUGGCAAAUUGUCCCACCGUCAGGCAUUCACUUAUGGAAGUGGACUAAGCCAACAAGCCACUCCACUGGUUUAUCCAUGUUAACUAAUGUGUAAGCACCCAUAGCUUUGUACGAUGAAAUCAAUCUACGUGUGUGAAAAAACACGUAUACAGUGCUGGUUUACCCAAACUUUGCACAUAUAUUUUAUCCAGUUUAUUCUUUGUGCCAACUUCUAUGAUGGCGCGUCUCUAUUCUUCCUGACUGCUGGUGAAAAAAUUCUUGUAGUUCUCAUAUCCAUUGUUGGAUAAUAAUAGAAUGAAAUAUGUGCUUCUAAA